CCAGACCUACGGGAGGCAGCAGUGGGGAAUAUUGCACAAUGGGGAGAACCCUGAUGCAGCGACGCCGCGCGAGUGAAGAAGUAUUUCGGUAUGUAAAGCUCUAUCAGCAGGGAAGAAGAUGACGGUACCUGACUAAGAAGCCCCGGCUAACUACGUGCCAGCAGCCGCGGUAAUACGUAGGGGGCAAGCGUUAUCCGGAUUUACUGGGUGUAAAGGUAGCGUAGACGGCAGGGCAAGUCUGGAGUGAAAGCC
rnacentral:rRNA from 1 species